CCCCCCUAAAACCCCUAACUUUACAAACAAAAUGAAAAAAAGAAGAGGAAAAUGGAGGCACCAAAGACGAUUUAGCAGAAAACCUCUCCAAUCUACUUACGAGUCAGCAAUUCCUACUACCGUUUGUUUCUCUAGAAAAUAUAUGAGACUUAAUAUUAUUAUUUUGUUUGUUUAUUUGUGUGUGUGUUUCAUCUUGUUGUGUUCAUUACUCAGAUCCCUAUCGCUUUUAUUUCUGUUCCAUUUUUCCUCUUUAUUUUCUAAUUUUGGGUGUUAUUUAUUCCAUAUAGAUUUUUAAUUAUAAUUUUGGUCAUCUUCCAAAAGAGGGAACUCGUUUUUGAAAACCCUAAGCAGAAGGAAGAAAUCGAAGUGAGGUGUGCCAUCGCCUCUGCUCCACCACCAGCCAUGAAGUUCAAUAUCGCCAACCUCAGUAUGGGAUGCCAGAAGAAGCUAGAAAUCGUUGAUGACCAGAAACUAUCAACACAAUACCUCAUAAUCAUAGCAAGGGGCUUGCAAAUGUGGAACCUCUUUUCAACAGCUUGGCCUUGCAGCAAUACAUUCUUUUAUGCU